rnacentral:tRNA from 1 species
ACCCGGCUGGCUCAGUCAGAAGAGCAGGCGACUCUUGAUCUCAAGGUCGUGGGUUUGAACCCCAUGUUUGGUG